rnacentral:rRNA from 1 species
UACGGAGGAUGCAAGCGUUAUCCGGAUUUAUUGGGUUUAAAGGGUGCGUAGGCGGAACGGUAAGUCAGUGGUGAAAUCCUGUUGCUUAACAACAGAACUGCCAUUGAUACUGCCGAUCUUGAGUACAUAUGAUGUGGGCGGAAUGUGUCGUGUAGCGGUGAAAUGCUUAGAUAUGACACAGAACACCGAUUGCGAAGGCAGCUCACAAAACUGUAACUGACGCUGAGGCACGAAAGCGUGGGUAUCAAACAGG